UACGAAGGGGGCUAGCGUUGUUCGGAAUUACUGGGCGUAAAGCGCGCGUAGGCGGACGUUUAAGUCAGGGGUGAAAUCCCAGGGCUCAACCCUGGAACUGCCUUUGAUACUGAAUGUCUGGAGUUCGGGAGAGGUGAGUGGAAUUCCGAGUGUAGAGGUGAAAUUCGUAGAUAUUCGGAAGGACACCAGUGGCGAAGGCGGCUCACUGGACCGGUACUGACGCUGAGACGCGAAAGCGUGGGGAGCAAACAGG
rnacentral:rRNA from 1 species